rnacentral:sRNA from 1 species
GACUAGCCCCGAUCGAAGCGGCAUCCUUUUUCCUGCUUCUUUAGCAGGGAAAAGAUAUAGCGGAGAGCGGGACUGAAU